rnacentral:rRNA from 1 species
AUGAACGCUGGCGGCGUGCCUAAUACAUGCCAGUCGAGCGAACAGACGAGGAGCUUGCUCCUCUGACGUUAGCGGCGGACGGGUGAGUAACACGUGGAUAACCUACCUAUAAGACUGGGAUAACUUCGGUAAACCGGAGCUAAUACCGGAUAAUAUAUUGAACCGCAUGGUUCAAUAGUGAAAGACGGUUUUGCUGUCACUUAUAGAUGGAUCCGCGCCGCAUUAGCUAGUUGGUAAGGUAACGGCUUACCAAGGCAACGAUGCGUAGCCGACCUGAGAGGGUGAUCGGCCACACUGGAACUGAGACACGGUCCAGACUCCUACGGGAGGCAGCAGUAGGGAAUCUUCCGCAAUGGGCGAAAGCCUGACGGAGCAACGCCGCGUGAGUGAUGAAGGUCUUCGGAUCGUAAAACUCUGUUAUUAGGGAAGAACAAAUGUGUAAGUAACUAUGCACGUCUUGACGGUACCUAAUCAGAAAGCCACGGCUAACUACGUG